rnacentral:rRNA from 1 species
UACGGAGGGUGCGAGCGUUGUCCGGAAUCAUUGGGCGUAAAGGGCGCGUAGGUGGCCCGGUCAGUUCGUGGUGAAAGCGCGGGGCUCAACCCUGCGUCGGCCAUGAAUACUGCCGCGGCUGGAGCACUGUAGAGGCAGGCGGAAUUCCGGGUGUAGCGGUGGAAUGCGUAGAGAUCCGGAAGAACACCGGUGGCGGAGGCGGCCUGCUGGGCAGUUGCUGACACUGAGGCGCGACAGCGUGGGGAGCAAACAGG